rnacentral:rRNA from 1 species
CACGUAGGGUGCGAGCGUUGUCCGGAAUUAUUGGGCGUAAAGAGCUCGUAGGCGGUCUGUUGCGUCGGCUGUGAAAACCCGGGGCUCAACCCCGGGCCUGCAGCCGAUACGGGCAGACUAGAGUUCGGCAGGGGAGACUGGAAUUCCUGGUGUAGCGGUGAAAUGCGCAGAUAUCAGGAGGAACACCGAUGGCGAAGGCAGGUCUCUGGGCCAUUACUGACGCUGAGGAGCGAAAGCGUGGGGAGCGAACAGG